rnacentral:lncRNA from 1 species
CUUCCAGGAAGCUUUCUCUGAUCACCCGCCUGGAUUAAUUGCCCCUCCCAGCUAUUCCACAGAGCUAUUCUGUGCCACCCGGCUUUGUCACCGCCUGUCCCUCCAACCAGCUGUAAGCUGCUGUGUGGACCAUGGCUUGUUUACUGCUUCAGGCCGACACUUGGGAGAGCCUGAUGGCGUUCAAUACCUGUGAAACGACUGAAUUCAUGACCACACCCAAGCUCACAGCUCCGAAGCGCCAGACAAACCCCGAUGGGCUGUUUUCCUUCAUGCUGUGUUGCUUUUCUGAUGACACACGCGGAGCCCUCCUUUCCCACGACCACGUAUGCUCUCCAUCAAAGUAUAAUUUCCACAAAGUCGAAGACAAGGAUCUCCCACAUCAAUCUAAAAACCAUUUGCAACUCAUCAAUUUCCUACAAGUUAGCAUCUGAAUUCACAGAGCCCCCUCCCCGCCCCCUCCAGGGCCCGCCUCAGCAGGAUGGUCUCUUGAUCGCUGCUCCCUCCCCUCAUCACCGAGGCCCAGGCUGGACGGGGCUUUGCGCUCACAUCCCAGGGCACAGCUGGGCAAGUGGACAAAGGCAUCAGGACAGGAAACCAUCAACAAGAGCGGCACGAAAUCUCUGGCUGGCCAGACGGUGCUUCCUGCCCGGGGCUCUCACGUCCAGACAACUGUAAAAUUUAUCCUUUGAGCCCAGACACUGCGGUGGGUGACAGGGGCCUCUUACAGUCCUGACGGGACAGCAGCAUCGGCCACGGCGGUCCUGGGCACUCGCUAUCCCGCAGCCAGGCCUUUCCUGGCACAGGACCCAGAGAAACGUGUGUCUCCCGGAGAACCCAUUUCUCCUACACAUUCAGGCUGCCAACCUCUACUCUCAUCUCUGCUGGGAAUUCAAGAAGCAAGACCCUGGCCCAGGGAGCCUCAGGGAACGGGCAAGGACCACUGUCAGGAGAAUGUGGAUGCUGCCUUGAGCACCGGACAGAGGACGCCAAGAGGAAGCCAGCGCUGUGGGGGCUCGGAGAGGCGCCUCACCUGCCAGAGAGGGUGCCGCUCAGGCUCAGCCCCUCAGGGGCUCUGGAGGAGAGACUCCAUGGGAAGGAAGAGGUUUGGGGUGAAUGCAGAGACCCAGGAGGAAAAGCUGCCUGAGAGGAGUCCCAGAGGGGCGAGUGCGUCGGCCCUGGGAGUCGCCAGAAAGCUCCUGCCCUUGCUGACCUUCCUCUCUUCGCUGUCACCCCGAGUCCCCACUCCUGGAGGGGGACCCCGCGUUACCUCCACGGGCCGUCGGCCGGGGGGCACCUCCUCACUGGCUCCCAGAGAAGUUUGUUGAAUACACGGCAG